rnacentral:rRNA from 1 species
AACGAACGCUGGCGGCAUGCCUAACACAUGCAAGUCGAACGAGACCUUCGGGUCUAGUGGCGCACGGGUGCGUAACGCGUGGGAAUCUGCCCUCUGGUACGGAAUAACUCAGGGAAACUUGAGCUAAUACCGUAUAAUGACUUCGGUCCAAAGAUUUAUCGCCUGAGGAUGAGCCCGCGUCGGAUUAGCUAGUUGGUGAGGUAAAGGCUAAACAAGGCGACGAUCCGUAGCUGGUCUAAGAGGAUGAUCAGCCACAAUGGGACUGAGACACGGUGCAGACUCCUACGGGAGGCAGCAGUGGGGAAUAUUGGAAAAUGAGCGAAAGCCUGAUCCAGCAAUGCCGCGUGAGUGAUGAAGGUCUUAGGGUUGUAAAUCUCUUUUACCCGGGAUGAUAAUGACAGUACCGGGAGAAUAAGCCCCGGCUAACUCCGUGCCAGCAGCCGCAGUAA